GUGUAGAAGCAGUGGCGAUAGUGUGGCAACGGACAUCCGAGUCUUUGCAUCAAUAAAAUUCAGCGUCGUAGCACACCUUUCCGCCUUUCGCUUACACGGCAGUGUCGAAGACACGGUGGCGUGAACAUAGGUACACUUGCGCCGCCCUGAGUCUGUGCGUCUGUGUCUGUGUGCUUUCCCAUCCAGUACCAGACAAGGUAUUUCAUCGCAUCCUCCGCCGCCGCCAUCGUCGCCUCUCUCAGCCUCGUUUCUUCGCCGUUUCUAGGCGGCGCGCACGUCCUCUCGCCCUGCGCUUCGUCAGUGUGAGAUAUUGGUCCCUCCUUCUCCUCACCGUCCACCUCGCGGCUGCUUCGGCGUGCACACACACACGCAAGCAAGCAAGCAGAGAGAGAGACGGAGUACCCUGUGUGGAUCGCGCCCAUCACCGCGCGGUGUCCAUGUGAUUGUGCUUGCUUGUGAACCUACACACUUGCAUUCCUUUUUGUUCUCGUUGUUAUUGUGUGUUGCUUGUCUUGUCUUUUCCUCUGGCCCUGACGCCUGUUGGCGGGUGCACACCAUCAGCAUCACACUACCACACACUCGAACUGCUCUGCUGCCUGUGUGGACGUGUGCACCUCGCCUCUCUCCCUCCCUCGUUCCGCUGUCCUUGCAGCCCGGCUGCCGUCAUUUCUUUUCUGCUUCUGUUCUUUGUUCUUUCUGCAUCUCUUCUCCUCUGCCCGCGCCGACGCUCGGAGCAAGCGGCUGCUGCUCCAUCCACCCCACCCCCACCUCUCGCCCCUCUCUCCGCCCUUCGUGCGCACGCACGCCCAGAGACACGCGCUCACGACGGAAGAAGACUCGACAGCAUCAGCGGCAGCAGCAGCAGUACUUGUGUCAUCGCACACUGCGUCCGGCUUGCACGCGCGCGCGAUGCGCUCACACACGCACACACAAGCCUUUGACCACGCCCGCCUCGCUCUCUUCCUCUUCGCUUGCGGUGAUCUCCUCGGCUCAUUCGCGCCUGCUGUUUGGUGUCGGUCGCGGCGUGAGAAUGUUUGGCGGGACAGUCGGCGGUGGUGGCGGCGCUGGCGACGGCGUUCCGCUCAUCACACGCCUUCUCCUGCUCCGCGCCACGGCGCACUUUCAGCUGUCGCCGUCGGCUCCCUCGGCGUCCUCGGCGGGCGAGACGGCUCCGGCGCUGCCAAAGCUGUCCAUCGUCUCGCACUACGCGCAAGGGCCGCCGCUGACGUCGACGUCAUCGCCGCGGUCAGCCACAGCCACCCCGAAAGAAGCGGCGCAUUUUCUGGAGGCGCAUCCCUCGCUACAUGGCGUGCUCGGCUGUCUUGCCGCUGACCGCCUUGCACAGCGGGUAAAGCUGCGCCGGCUGCAGACCGACGUCGUGCGUACAUCGGUGAAGCUUACGCGGGCAGUAGCGCUGGCCUCCUCGGCCGAGGUCGCUCCCGCAUCCCGCAGCAGAGGCAUGGAUAGCAGCCAGCUGCAAGGUGUUGUCGCGGCUGCAACGGCGAACUUCGUCGAGGACGUAGCAUGGUGCAGCACGGUCACGCCGCACAGCCCGCAGCUGAACCCGUGGUGCCUCCUGCCUGUCUCUGCGGAGGGCUGCUACUUGACAUUGCCAUCAUCGCAGUUCGUGCAGUGGUGUGAGCAGCAGGCGGUGCGCUGCUGUGCAGGGGAAGGCACCGCGCCGUCAGCCGAGCCCGACGUUCGCGGUGGUCCGAUGCGGUACAACGACGUUGUGCACUACGCGGGCGCCGGUGAGGACGGCGGCUACGUGCACGGCUACGCGUUCAUUCUGGAGGGCGACGUCUUCAGCGGCAGCGGCAGGGUGGUCGAUGCAGCGGCCGCGGCUGCCAAAGCUGCCCUGGACAGUCAGCGCCUGGACGCCUCGUUGCGUGACGACAGCGACGAGGAGGCCAGUGUGCUCGUAUGGUGUGUGCUGAGUGAUGCGCCGGUGUUCAACUUCAUGCGUGCCCUCACGCACGAGGCGGUGGCGGCCAUGAGCUACGUCGCUCAGCGGCUGUACCGUGAGCACGUCGCAUCCACGGAGUCGGCGUCAGCAAGCGCCGCACCCCCUCACGACAUCUACACGGCGCUCCUCGAUGAUGCGAUACAGGAGGAGGUUGUGCUGCCUCUGGCGAAGGAGCUGCUCCACUUUGGCUCUGUCAGCAGUCGCACGUUGCCUGGGGACACCUUCACCGUGCAGCUAGCGCUCACAAGCAGCAGUGGUGGCGCCAUAGCCUCACAUCCGCUUGCAUCCUCCGUUUCGGAUCUGCUGACGUUCUGCCGCCCCCUCGACUUGCUCUACCCCUACGCCGACGUGCCGCUGUCGCUCCUCUUGCUGAGCUUCAACGAAGACGCCUUGCGCGUGUUACAGUCGCUCCUGAUGCAGGAGGAGCGGGUGGUGGUGCUUGGCGCCACUCCGCAGCACGCGUCCGCUUGUGUCGUCAGCUUGCUGGCGCUGCUGAGCCCGCUCACGUGGGUGUCCCCGCUCGUCCCAUAUCUCCCGCCGCACCUGGCCGCGGUGACUGGGCUGCUGCAGACCCUACUGAAGCCCCCCUUUGCGCAGCAGCAGCAGCAAGUUUCGUCGGGUAAGCCGUCUGCCGCGGUGCCACCCUCGCAGCGGACGGAGAGCAGCGGCUUUCUCGUCGGCAGCACCGCCGCCAUCCAGCCCUAUCUUAUCCUCCUCUCGUCUGCCUCGCCAGGCGAGGCAGGCGUGAGCGUCACCGGCUACGGUGGCAGUGGCAAGCGCGCGUUGCGGGUCUGGAUUGCCGACGCUCGAACCGGCUGCGUUGGUGUAUGCCCGCAGGAGCCAGUAGCGCGGUUCUCGCAGGCCGAUUCUCCGGCAUCGACCGACCCGUCCGACGGGUCGGUGGCAACGGUGGCGGCAAGCAGCCGCUCCGUGAACGCUUGGGCGACUCGCGCGCACGUGAAUCUCCGCCGAAUCGUGUCGCACAACUGCGAGGGAGACGGGAGUCGCAGCGCCACCGAUCUUUACGGCGCCGUUCGUAGCAGCCUGCGCGCCAUGGCUAAGUCGAACGUUAUGAACGCAGCUGCGCUGGACCUCCUGCCUGCCUUCAGCGACAACCUUCGAGACCAGCUGCGCCGCGUGGUGAGCGUUGAUAAGCGCCGUCUCUUUCGGCACAGCCUGGAGGCGGUGGCGCAGCACACGCAGGCUCGACUAAAGGAUCUUGAGUCGCUGGCGGCGCGCCUGGCACGAGGGCUGCGACAGGCAAUCAUGAGCACCGGUGCCGGCAGCAACAUGUCCUUCGAGAGCACGCUCAACGACACCUUGGCAAAUCGUAGCAUCUACAGCGACGCCGAGGAUGGCAAUGGUGAGCUUACAGCGACGCACACCGGUGAUGACGACGGCGACGACACUACAUCGCUGCGCUCCAUCACGGAGGCCCUCGCACGAUCCUUCUCCAAGUCCUUCGCCGGUGGGCCCGCGUCGUUAACAGCAUCCUUCGCUGCUGCCCCCGUCCCGCAGUUCCCGGCGCCGUCCCUAAGCGAGGUUUGGCAGGUACAGGCUGGUGUGUUCGACUACAUGGUGAGUCGUUUCACAGGGGCGUACCGCCGAGGGUUGUCCGCGACGACCCUCGGCAGCGGCGGCAUUGGCGGAGUUGGACAGCGUCGCGCCCCUGCCAUUGAAUUGUCUGUGUUUUUGGUGCCCGGUAUGGACCAGCACCACGCACUGGCAGAGCGCGUCGCCCGCACGCACAUUUUUAAGCAGUUCGAGUGCGCGGUCUUGGCCGCGGAGCAGGUGGGGCUGCGUCGCGUCUUCUCCGGCGCUGAUCCAGCGCGCGUGGGCAAGGCGCAGGCACCUCGGCAUCACGGCAGAGGCGAGGAAGGUCAUCCCCUCCUGGCGAAUGUCCGCUACCUGGCGCUCUUUGCGCUCCUGUGUAGUCGUGCGCGUCUCCACUACGCGGAGCUGUACCCCGACAUGGCCUCCGUGGACGCGGUUGGGCUCGUGUACACUGCUCUGGUCACGCGGUGGUUCGCGAACCGACCGGGCGCCUCGUCGUCGAUGAGCGUGCCGCGUGCCAUCCGGCUUCUCGCGGGCGGCUGCAACGGCGCCGAGGAGGGCGCGGUUGCCGCUGCAAAGCAUGCCGCCUGCAGUGGGAGUGGCUCUGGGGUGUAUGGCGGCAGCAACGAUGGCGGCGGCGGCAGUGGUGGUGGUGGUGGCUUUCGUGGAUUCUUUUCGAAAGUCGCGAAGGCGAUGAAGCAUGGCUACGGCGGCAACGGACGCUCGCGCGGACUGCGCACGGCUUACCUCCCCGCUGCCAUCGCCUGCCUGCACACCUUUAGCGUUCCGCUCUUUUCGGAGCUACCAGUGGCCCGACAGUCAUUCGCCGUCACAUCACACUUGGAGAAAACCUCGAUAGAGAGCAGCAGCGGAGAAGCAGGUGGUGCUGUCAGUGACCGUCGUGGCCGCCGUCUCCGCCACCGCAACCGCAACGCACAAGUCUUCCUCAAGACCUGUAUGCCACCACCGCAGCGGAUCAAGUAUGCCCGGCAGCAGGAGCAGCAGCAGCACAUCGCACUCGACACGGACUUCACGCUGCAUGACUGUGUCAACGUGGUGCGAGUCGCAGGUCUUGGCAGUGGCGGCCACAGCGUCCCUGAAGCCGGCUUCUACAGCGGAGGAAGAGCGUAUGGGAAUGGGCUGGGGAUCGAGUCGGAGAUGUUCGACCCCAUCGCCCGCGCCGGCACUGACCCGGACGGCAGGCGGGAUAAGACCAACAUCAGCGCCGAUACACAGAAGCAUGACCGAGGUCUGCAAGCGAUGUCGGAAGCGUCUCUCUACAUCUGUCAUGCCCUACCGCUCGACAUCGUGCACAGGUUCGAUGCAUACGAGUCGCUGCUGCGUCCGGUCACACCAGGAGGCGCAGAAAUCUCACCAGCAAGCGCCGGUGGAGACGCUCUGGACGCCGGGUCCGCGGCGGCCUACUUGCUAGUAGGACUCCUGUUCCCGUCGUGCAUAAACAUGUGGCAUGAGGUUGAGGCUCGUGCGAUGCGCGCCGUAUCGGAACCGUCGCUCUCGCAAGCAACGAAGCCACCCGCGUCCGCUGCGUCGUCUUCCGCCUCGUCUGCACAGUCGCGACUGCUGCCACCGUCGAGAGCCGAGAAGCCUGCGGAGACAUCGGUCCCACAAGACUCUCGGUAUUCAGUUCCCGCGUCAGCGCAGUCAACAGCCCCGCAGCCGUCGGCGUGGAGCGCCUUCACCAGCGGCGUCCCGCAGGACUACCCCUCUGUGAGCCCUGUCCUGCCGGAUCGAAGCCCUGGUGGAGAUGCGCAGCAACACCAAGCAUCGCCCAUGCACGCCUCUACAGCAGCCUCGACGACGCACCACCGCGACGUGUGGGACUCGUGGGGCAUCCAGGCACCAUCAGCGAUGGUGAGCGUGCAGCCAGCCCCAGUGCAGGGGACGGCAGCUGAGAGGCCACAGACACAGGUCGCCGACAGCGGCGGCAGUGGCAGUGAGGGUGGCGUAUGGAGUACCGGUGCACCACUUGGACCUCCGAUGAUGCUAGGUGGGAUGGAAACAACACCGCCAUGCAUCAGCGUCGCAUUCUCGCUGACUCCCGCUGCCGACGUGGCGCCAGCACCUCGCGGCGUAAUGGACAAUCUCUUUGCCGACACGCCGACGCACUCGACGGCGUACGCAGCGGCAGCGGGGAAUGUCAGCCAGCAGCAGCCGACGGCGGCUUCUCGAUCGCAUGCCCUUGACAACUUCUUCUAACGGAAAAAGGAGAAGGGUAUGCGUACACGAGAAGCCAAUGUGAGGAAGGGGUUCGUAUGGUGUGGAGGCCAUGUAUGGUGAUGCCUGCAUGGCCACGCGCGAGCGUCUCUAACUUUCCGUUC
rnacentral:misc_RNA from 1 species